UUAAGUUUCAGGUUACCAUAGGAACAGAAUGGAUUAUAAACUUACAGGACAGCAAUUUGUACAAGAUGCUGUUGAUGCUGUUAAAGUCUUUCUUCCCUGGAUAUGGGCCACAAAUAGGGGCUGUCUAGGCCUGCUGCCCUUAACUCCCAAGCUGCCAGCAAGUUCCUUGCACCACGGAGGGAGAGCAGAAGCCAGCAGGGACAAUGGAAGAGCAGCAGAGAGAAACCUACUCUGGAUGUUCUUAGUUGACCUCAGGAGCAGGAGGACUUAAGGACCCAUGGAUGUUCCAGAGCUGAAUGAGCCACCAAGAAAGACCGUUCUGGCCAAAUGUGACCUUGAGUGAAUGUUCCCUCUGUGGCUAAGUUGGAUUUGGCUGACAGCUGGAAGAAUAAUGAAGCAGUCAUCUGCACAAAGUAUGAACAAUGCUUACCAAGGCAGCAAAAGAAAAAA